ACCAGCGAUGGAGAGGACGCUUUUAUUGGAUCAAAACCAUUCGCCCGAGCAAUCGGGCGUCGGCUUGAUGACUCUAGAUAACACCACAGAUCGCACGGUCAUAGUACCGGUGACAUAUCCUUCAAAUGUCUGACUUAUCAGCUGUCGAUGGUAGACUCUGUGUCUACCAUGGCGCUCACGGGUGACGGGGAAUCAGGGUUCGAUUCCGGAGAGGGAGCCUGAGAAACGGCUACCACAUCCAAGGAAGGCAGCAGGCACGCAAAUUACCCACUCCCGGCACGGGGAGGUAGUGACAAAAAAUAACGAUACGGGACUCAUCCGAGGCCCCGUAAUCGGAAUGAGAACACCCUAAAUCCUUUAACGAGGAUCU
rnacentral:rRNA from 1 species